GGGCUUCGCCUUGGGCUUGGCCGCGGCCGGCGCGCGCGUCGGCGGCAACUUGUAGGAGUUCUUGACCUUGGUCAGCUUGCCGGCGGCGACGAGCUUCUUGAUCUGGACGAGCAGCUGCUUGCGGAAGUUGGAUGGCAGGUGGUCCUUGUGCUUGUCCUCGAGGAACUUGCCGAUCGCGUACUGGCUCGACCCGGUCCUCUCCUUCAGCGUCGCGAUCGCCUCCGAGAUCAUCUCGGCGUACGGCGGGUGGGUGGCGGUGGAGCGUGCCUUCCUCGGCGCGGCGGCCUUCUUGGCCUUGGCCUCCUUCGCCGGCUUGGAAUCCCCGGCGGUGGCCGUGGUCUCAGGCGCGGCGGCCGCAGCCUCCUCCGCCGCCACCUCGGGCUCAGUCGCUGCCACGUCGGUCGCCAUCAAUGCACUGACUACUGCCGCUAUCCGAAGCU
rnacentral:misc_RNA from 1 species